rnacentral:rRNA from 1 species
UGGGGAAUUUUGGACAAUGGGCGAAAGCCUGAUCCAGCAAUGCCGCGUGUGUGAAGAAGGCCUUCGGGUUGUAAAGCACUUUUGUCCGGAAAGAAAUCCUUGGCUCUAAUACAGUCGGGGGAUGACGGUACCGGAAGAAUAAGCACCGGCUAACUACGUGCCAGCAGCCGCGGUAAUACGUAGGGUGCAAGCGUUAAUCGGAAUUACUGGGCGUAAAGCGUGCGCAGGCGGUUUGCUAAGACCGAUGUGAAAUCCCCGGGCUCAACCUGGGAACUGCAUUGGUGACUGGCAGACUAGAGUAUGGCAGAUGGGGGGUAGAAUUCCACGUGUAGCAGUGAAAUGCGUAGAGAUGUGGAGGAAUACCGAUGGCGAAGGCAGCCCCCUGGGCCAAUACUGACGCUCAUGCACGAAAGCGUGGGGAGCAAACAGGAUUAGAUACCCUGGUAGUCCACGCCCUAAACGAUGUCAACUAGUUGUUGGGGAUUCAUUUCCUUAGUAACGUAGCUAACGCGUGAAGUUGACCGCCUGGGGAGUACGGUCGCAAGAUUAAAACUCAAAUGAAUUGACGGGGUCAUAGCUGUUUCCU